rnacentral:rRNA from 1 species
GAUGAACGCUAGCUACAGGCUUAACACAUGCAAGUCGCGGGGCAGCAUGAAUUUAGCUUGCUAAAUUUGAUGGCGACCGGCGCACGGGUGAGUAACGCGUAUCCAACCUACCCAUGUCCACGGGAUAGCCCGUCGAAAGGCGGAUUAAUACCGUAUGAGGUCACACGAUGGCAUCAGAAUGUGACGAAAGGUUUUGCGGACAUGGAUGGGGAUGCGUCCGAUUAGCUAGUUGGCGGGGUAACGGCCCACCAAGGCGACGAUCGGUAGGGGUUCUGAGAGGAAGGUCCCCCACAUUGGAACUGAGACACGGUCCAAACUCCUACGGGAGGCAGCAGUGAGGAAUAUUGGUCAAUGGGCGGAAGCCUGAACCAGCCAAGUAGCGUGCAGGACGACGGCCCUAUGGGUUGUAAACUGCUUUUAUAAGGGAAUAAAAGUGGGUCUCGUGAGACUUUCUGCAUGUACCUUAUGAAUAAGGACCGGCUAAUUCCGUGCCAGCAG